CCAGACUUUAUUAUCAUGUGUACUUGGUUAGUCCUUAGGCCCUUUGUAGGGCCGUUUGUGUUUCUUAUCAAUAAUGAACUAACUGAGAACUAACCUUAGCAAAUGUAUUUGUGGUGGUCCACAUUUGUUCAUGUCGGGCCGCCACAACUAAAGGACUGGCUGCAAUCUACGGGAAGCAGGAGCGUAAAUACUGUCACGCAUGUGUAGAAAUACACUUCCGCUAAUCCCACUUUUGGUGUUUGAUUCCUAAGCGCUCGCUCUUUGUUUGCUUGCUCCGUCUAGGCCAGGGGCGUCCAAAUAUUUUUGUCCGCUGAGGGCCACAGGGUGAAGAACGGAAGGAUGCAGACGUGCUGAGAGGUUUUAUCUGUUUGACGAAAAAGACUACAUCUCAGCUUUGUCAUGGAGGUGAAAGGCAUAUUAUUCAUAUCUACUUCUUUCCAUAUUUGCUCUUUUACUGGCUCAUUUUCUUUUAUUUCCAUAUUUUCAUUGAUUCUGCUUUAGUCUUCUAAUAACUUUCCCCCCCAAAACUUAACUUUAUGUUGAUUUGUUGGAUUCUCAUUUUAAUAUUCUAUGCUAUGCUAACUCUAUGCUACUAAAAUGACAGACAGACAUUAACAGACAAUUUUCUAUAUGAUAAUAUUUGGACUUUAUUCUCCUAAAAUGACAUCAUUUUUUUCCCCAUUUCCGCUGUUUGUCUUUACGUACUUUCUUGAUGAUGCCUUUUUUGACAUAUUUUGACUUUAUUCUCACAAAAUCAUAACUUUUCCCACAACCUAAUUUGUCAAAAAUGACAAGAAAUGAUGCGUUGUUUUGUUUUUGUCAUAAUAUUACAACUUUUUAAAAAACUGCAUCUUUUUCUUUUCAUAAUAUUACAAAGUAAUUCUCAUAAAAUUCUGAUUUUUUUUCUCCAUUAUACCACAACUUCAUAUUUGACUUUUUGCUGACGUUUCUGUUUUUGCUGGGUUUUUUUUUGUUUAUUUGUAGUUUUCUUCUGAGUUUAUGCCACGGGCCACACAUGGCUCCUAGACCGUACUUUGGACACCCCCGGUCACCGGUGUGGGGGUGCAGGGACAGGAAGGUGUUUGCAGAGCGACUUUGCCCCCACGUGGUGUUUCAUACGAGUUGCUAUGAAUGUGUACUGUAUGUUGUUGAUAGAUUAGUACUGAGCAGCCAGACCCUUUCUGGUUCUAUGGUUAUCACGACACUUUUUUGCCAUCCAUCAUUAUCGUGGCGUCUGACGAAUCGCAUAUUUCUUUCCGAGAAGAUUCAGUUUGAACUCCAAAAUGUCAUCUUUUGUGUGAUGCUGCAAGCCGGUUGCCACGGCAACACGAUUUCUAUUGACUCAGGUCUUGUGACCUUGCGGUACCCCGUCAGCAACGUGUUUUUAACGCUGCAGUACACACAAUGCUGCCGUUGUGUGGACUGCAGCGUCUGGAGACAUGAGACAAAGACGCUCCUGGAGACAGGAAGUCAGCCUCUCGAGUUGGAUGUGAAAUUGAAACCAUGGAAAUAAAGCCCGACUGGACUUCCUCUCUGCUCUUGUUACGUUUCUGCACACACACACACACAUUGUUGUGCUUCUCUUGAACUUGCCACCUUCACGUCCGUAAAUCAUCACCUCCUAUCUGAGGGUCCUACAGCGAUGGAGCGCAUCCAAGGAUACGAGAAGGAGGCUCCCAUAAACAGGACCUCACACUGGGCUUCCCGACCCAGAGGAGCAUGUCCAACGUGGCGAGAGCGUGCGUCGGGGGCCGGUGGUGCCGCGGAGCUCCUUCAAGGGCCCUCAGCGUAGCCGCAGAAGGGACGGUGCUGGCAAAAGAAGGGCAGAGACGUCGAGGAGGGGACGGACGGGUGAGGAGCUUUGAGGAGAUCCCGCACACGGGGAGGAGCGGAUGGAUCAACCUGGUGAAGUUUUGGCGGGAGGAUCGCUUCAGGCUGCUCCACAAGCACAUGGAGAGCUCCUUCAACACCUUGGGGCCCAUCUACAGAGAGCACCUGGGCACCCAAAGCAGCGUGAACAUCAUGUUACCGCGAGACGUCGGAGAGCUGUACCGCUCGGAAGGCCUCUACCCGCGACGCAUGAUCCUGCAGCCCUGGGCCACGCACCGAGAAACCCGCCAGCACAGCAAGGGAGUCUUCCUCAAGAACGGCGAGGAGUGGCGCUCGGACCGCCUCCUCCUCAACAAGGAGGUGAUGGUGAGCGCGGCCGUCCGGCGUUUCGUCCCCCUGCUGGACGAGGUGGCCAGGGAUUUCUGCCGCAUGCUCCAGGACAGAGUGGAGGCGGAGGGGAGAGGGAAGGAGGGCGACCGCGGCCUGACGCUGGACCCCAGUCCCGACCUCUUCCGCUUUGCACUGGAAGCCAGCUGCCAUGUUCUCUACGGGGAGCGCAUGGGCCUGUUCUCCUCAACGUCCUCCCUGGAGUCUCAGAAGUUCAUCUGGGCGGUGGAAAGAAUGCUGGCCACCACGCCCCCCCUCCUCUACCUGCCCUCCCCCCUGCUGGAGCGAAUCGGCGCCCCCCUGUGGACCCAGCACGCCGCAGCGUGGGACCACAUCUUCAGCCAAGCUGAGGCCAGCAUCCAGAGGGGCUUCCAGUACCUGUCCUCCAAGCUGGCUUCAAGGUCCGCUGGGGACCCGUACCAGGGGGUUCUGGGCCAACUCCUGGAGAAAGGGCAGCUCUCUAGAGACCUCAUCAAGGCCAACAUCACUGAGCUGAUGGCUGGAGCUGUGGACACGACGGCGGUUCCACUGCAGUUUGCUCUGUUUGAGUUGGGGCGGAACCCCGCCGUGCAGGACAGGGUGAGGCAGCAGCUCAGGGUGUCGCUGGCCCAGGCGGGUGGGGACCCUCUCAAAGCCCUGCAGGGGGCCCCGCUCCUUAAAGGCACCGUCAAGGAGAUUCUAAGAUUGUAUCCGGUGGGCAUCACCGUGCAGCGCUACCCGGUCAAAGACAUCAUCCUUCACCGUUACAACGUUCCAGCAGGGACCAUGGUCCAAGUGUGUCUGUACCCCCUGGGGAGGAGCGCAGAGGUCUUUGACAACCCGCUGACCUUUGACCCCGGCCGAUGGGGCAGCGUCCGCGAGGAGGGGCCGGAGAGAGGAGGAGCGAAAGAGGAGGGGGCCGGCUUCCGUUCGCUGGCGUUCGGGUUCGGGGCGAGGCAGUGCGUCGGCCGCAGGAUUGCCGAGAAUGAGAUCCAGCUCUGUCUCAUGCACAUCCUGCUCAACUUCCACCUCAGUGUGUCUUCUUCACAAGACCUCAACACCAAAGUUACCCUCAUCCUGCAGCCUGAGACUCCACCCAGGAUCACCUUCAGGAAGCUCUGACACACACACACACACACACACACACACUUUCUACCCACGUCCUCCAAAUAAAAAUGAACUUUGGUCCUCCUCCUGCCAACGCACUGCCAGGGUUGUCCAUCAGGUGGUGCUAAAGCUCCUCCUCCCCUUCCUUCUCCUGCUUUGCUCGCCGCUGCUUGCCGAGCCUUCAUUGUGGGCUUGCAUCUUCAUGUGUGCUACAGCUCGCAUCAGACGCUACUCCGAGGCCAUGACCCUGCCCGACUCUUUCAUCCAGCGCCAGCAGUUGGACGCCAGCAUGGCCGACACCUUCCUGGAGCACCUGUGCCUGCUGGACAUCGACCAGGAGCCCAUCACGGCACGCAA